GACAGAUCAGUUUGCCUCCUGUAUUUGUUCUGUCUGGUCCUCUGGCCGAUUGAAUGUAACCAGUUACUAAACAAUCAUAGAAGAUUAAGAAAUCUUCUGGCAGUCGUUCAACAAUGAGAAUUUUGGUUUAAGAUGAGUGGAAAUGAGAAGAUCCUAGCCUCUGAACCAUUUUGAUCUGCUGCCCUCCCAAGCAAACCUAGAGCAGACUGAAAAGGCAUGGAAAAGAUAUGGCCACCCUGUGUGAGCAAUGCAAUUAGCCAAAUGAGGUAGCUGGAGGGGCCAAGUGACCCACAUACUCUAACGAGGACAUCAAACACUGCCCCAGUUAGAGAAGAUGUGCGGUGUGUUUCCAGGAAUAGGGAAAGACCUAACUUCCCCUGUCAGAGAACAAACUGAUCUCUUGUCACAAAAGAAGACCCAGAAUUUCUUGAUGGGUGAUAGUGGUACUUCCUUUAAAUAUAAAAAGCUUCCUAAGUCAUGAAGUUAAUUAUGCAUUUUUAAAAAAUUAAUAAAAGCAAGUAAAAGUGG